rnacentral:rRNA from 1 species
UCAAAAACAUGUCUUUUUGAAUUUAAUUUAAAGUCUAAUCUGCCCACUGAUUUAAAAUUAAAGGGCUGCAGUAAUUUGACUGUACAAAGGUAGCAUAAUCAUUAGUCUUUUAAUUGAAGACUUGUAUGAAAGAUUUGAUGAGAUAUAAACUGUCUCUUAUUUAUAAUUAAAAUUUAAUUUUUUAGUUAAAAAGCUAAAAUAAAUUUAAAAGACGAGAAGACCCUAUAGAGUUUUAUAAUUUAUAAAUUAAAAUAUUUAUAUAAAAUUUUAAUAUUAAAUUUUGUUAAUUAUUUUAUUGGGGUGAUAAAAAAAUUUAAAAAACUUUUUUUUAAAAAUUUUCAUAAAUAAAUGAAUAAAUGAUCUUGAAUAAUGAUUAAAAGAAAAAAUUACCUUAGGGAUAACAGCGUAAUAUUUUUUUUUAGUACAAAUAAAAAAAAAAGUUUGCGACCUCGAUGUUGGAUUAAGAUAAAAUUUAAAUGCAAAAGUUAAAA